rnacentral:lncRNA from 1 species
ACUGAACACUUUAGAAUCUCCAUCAGAAGGUUUUAUUUUGUGAUUAAAAUCUCUUUUUAUUUGUUUGAAAAUACCAUAUUUUUUCCUCCAUUCCUGACAUGCAUUUUUACUAGUUAUACAAAUCUGGGUAGACAUUCAAUAUCUUUCAACAGCACUGUUGUAUUCAAGUUACACACUCUUGUUUUUGAGAACUCAGCAAUCAGCCUGCUUGUUUCUUUCUGGGUGACUGGCCUUUUCCUUUGUCUGCUUUUAAGAUAUUUUAAGAUAUUUUCUUAUUCUUCAAUAUCCUUCCAUUUCCUUAAGAUAUAACUAGGUGUGGAGUUCUUUUAUUUAUGCUGCUUGAGAACUUAAGGGCAUCUGGAUGUACAAAUUGAUAUUUUUCAACAAUUCUAAAAAAUUAUCAGGCAUUAUCUAUUUUUUCCUCCUUUCCACUCUUUCUAGGAUCCUUUCAUAGAACUCUGAUUUGAUGUUAUUUUAAGUCUUCUCCUUUUAUCCUGGAGG